UACGUAGGGGGCAAGCGUUAUCCGGAAUUACUGGGUGUAAAGGGAGCGUAGACGGUAAUGUAAGUCUGGAGUGAAAGGCGGGGGCCCAACCCCCGGACUGCUCUGGAAACUAUGUUACUAGAGUGCAGGAGAGGUAAGCGGAAUCCCUAGUGUAGCGGUGAAAUGCGUAGAUAUUAGGAGGAACACCAGUGGCGAAGGCGGCUUACUGGACUGUAACUGACGUUGAGGCUCGAAAGCGUGGGGAGCAAACAGG
rnacentral:rRNA from 1 species